rnacentral:rRNA from 1 species
AGCAAUGCCGCGUGAACGAAGAAGGUUCUCGGAUCGUAAAGUUCUGUUGUAAGGGAAGAACACGUACGGGAGUAACUGCCCGUACCUUGACGGUACCUUAUUAGAAAGCCACGGCUAACUACGUGCCAGCAGCCGCGGUAAUACGUAGGUGGCAAGCGUUGUCCGGAAUUAUUGGGCGUAAAGCGCGCGCAGGCGGUCUUUUAAGUCUGAUGUGAAAGCCCACGGCUCAACCGUGGAAGGUCAUUGGAAACUGGGAGACUUGAGUACAGAAGAGGAAAGCGGAAUUCCACGUGUAGCGGUGAAAUGCGUAGAGAUGUGGAGGAACACCAGUGGCGAAGGCGGCUUUCUGGUCUGUAACUGACGCUGAGGCGCGAAAGCGUGGGGAGCAAACAGGAUUAGAUACCCUGGUAGUCCACGCCGUAAACGAUGAGUGCUAAGUGUUAGGGGGUUUCCGCCCCUUAGUGCUGCAGCUAACGCAUUGAGCACUCCGCCUGGGGAGUACGGCCGCAAGGCUG